GGGAGGUGCUUGGUAUCCACUCCUAGCCUACUUAAGGCACACCCCUUACCUUGAUCCUUACCGUUCGAAGUCAGCGUUGAAUGAGCAUCCACUUCCGGGUUCUCUCAGACGCCAUCUUGGUUUUUCAGUAUCCACAAGGUUUUUCCCUGGCAAGCUGUGUCCCAGAAUCCUGUUUCUGGCCUUUUCUGCCCGUCCAGCUUCUUCUGACCCCGGUCAUUGUCGUAGAUCACGUCCCAGGGACUCCUAAACCGUAAGUUAGACCUACCUGUCACGCCAGGAUCGGUUCCCACGGCGUACGGUACAGCACGGAUCCUU
rnacentral:lncRNA from 1 species